CCGCAUCCCUCACUCCUCACGUCUGCUUUGCUGCGGGCGGGAUCUGAACCGCUUCGUUGGUGAACCGCCCGCGGUUCGCACCUGGCAGUCGCCUGGAAGCGUGAGUAAGGGCGGUGUUUGUUAUUGUCUGCGGGCACUCGUUAGCUAAACGCGCAACUCCGGGAUGACUGGGUCCACUUCUUGUCCAUUUCCCUCACCCAUUCACUCAUUCGUUGAGCACCAGCCCCACUCCAGGAAUCUGGCAGUGAGAAGUGGCGUCAAAGGCCUCUCGGGCUGGUAAGAGGGACGCGACCAGCCGCUGCGGUCUGUGGCGAAGGCUGUGUGCCUAGGAGCUGAGAAGAGGCAUCUCCUUGUCCUCUGCGCGGAUCUCGGCCUGCAGCCGGUUAACCAAUGGAUGAAUGUUUAUUCUACACCUAAGAAGUGCGCUGCAGAGACCCGCUGCAUGGGGGCCGAGGAAAAGAGACGGCUUCUUUUCCUGGAUCACCCCAGCAGAGAUUGGACAUCUGACAUCUGCUACAUAAAACAAAACCUACGUAUGUUCAAAGCA